GAUCCUGGCUCAGGAUGAACGCUAGCUACAGGCUUAACACAUGCAAGUCGAGGGGAAACGAUAUUGGAAGCUUGCUUCCGAUAGGCGUCGACCGGCGCACGGGUGAGUAACGCGUAUCCAACCUGCCCAUCACUUGGGGAUAACCUUGCGAAAGUAAGACUAAUACCCAAUGACGUCUCUAGAAGACACCUGAAAGAGAUUAAAGAUUUAUCGGUGAUGGAUGGGGAUGCGUCUGAUUAG
rnacentral:rRNA from 1 species